CCUUCGAUAGCUCAGUUGGUAGAGCGGUGGACUGUAGAAAGUUUAGUGCCGGAAGAUAUCCAUAGGUCGCUGGUUCAAAUCCGGCUCGAAGGA
rnacentral:tRNA from 1 species